rnacentral:pre_miRNA from 1 species
GCAGUGCCUUAGCAGCACGUAAAUAUUGGCCAUUGCACUCCGGCCAGUAUUAACUGUGCUGCUGAAGUAAGGU